UACGUAGGGUCCGAGCGUUUGUCCGGAAUUACUGGGCGUAAAGAGCUCGUAGGUGGUUUGUCGCGUUGUUCGUGAAAACUCACAGCUCAACUGUGGGCGUGCGGGCGAUACGGGCAGACUUGAGUACUGCAGGGGAGACUGGAAUUCCUGGUGUAGCGGUGGAAUGCGCAGAUAUCAGGAGGAACACCGGUGGCGAAGGCGGGUCUC
rnacentral:rRNA from 1 species